rnacentral:lncRNA from 1 species
AACUAUGAGUAUAAUAAAGGCAUAAACAUAAAAAGAAAAUGUUAAAAGAAAUAGAAUACUAAAGGAAAAUAAAAUGCUAAAAGAAAAAUAAAAUACAAGGCAUAAACAUAAAAAGAAAAUGUUAAAAGAAAUAGAAUACUAAAGGAAAAUAAAAUGCUAAAAGAAAAAUAAAAUACUAAACAAAAAAGUGCUACACAUGAGUAUUGAACCCACUCCACUCAAGAAUAUGGAAACCACCCCUCUCCACCAGACCACUCAUGGUUAUUUAUUAUUUUGAUGCUACUUUAAAUAUAUAAACCAAAAUAGAUUAAACAUUAGAAUAAAGAAAAGAGUCUAUUGGACUAUCCUAAUAAAUGAUGGGGAACCAAAAAUUAAAACCCAG